rnacentral:rRNA from 1 species
GUCCCAGACUCCUACGGGAGGCAGCAGUGGGGAAUAUUGCACAAUGGGCGAAAGCCUGAUGCAGCAACGCCGCGUGAGUGAUGAAGGCCUUCGGGUCGUAAAACUCUGUCCUCAAGGAAGAUAAUGACGGUACCUGACUAAGAAGCCCCGGCUAACUACGUGCCAGCAGCCGCGGUAAUACGUAGGGGGCAAGCGUUAUCCGGAUUUACUGGGUGUAAAGGGAGCGUAGGUGGCGUGCCAAGUCAGGAGUGAAAACCCAGGGCCCAACCCUGGGACUGCUCUUGAAACUGGCAGGCUUGAGUGCUGGAGAGGUAAGCGGAAUUCCUAGUGUAGCGGUGAAAUGCGUAGAUAUUAGGAGGAACACCAGUGGCGAAGGCGGCUUACUGGACAGUGACUGACACUGAGGCUCGAAAGCGUGGGGAGCAAACAGGAUUAGAUACCCUAGUAAAG